rnacentral:lncRNA from 1 species
UCAUUUCCUUUCUUAUUUUUCUCGAGCCCCCUUUCCUUCGGUCACAGGGUCGGCAAGUCUCCGCUGCGGCCAUUGGUCAUCGAUGACGGAGACCGUCGCCUCCGGAGGUCGGAGAUCACCAAAAUCACCCAUUCCGAGCCUUUUUUCGCGUAGAUUUUAGAUAUAGGAUUCAAAUCCCCAAAAACCCAGUCGAAUUCCACUAACAGUCGAGAAACCCUUUUCUUCUCCCUGAUCUACGACGAGGCCGUCGACGAACCCUUAGGGGUUUAGAAAAAAAAUGAAUCUUCGUUUUUGUUUUAACUUUGCUAUUUUUUUUUAAAUUCUUCGGUCUCCGUUGAGGUUGUCGACGAACCCUAAUGGGUUUGGAGACCCUUUGAAUCGGCAGAGAGCUGCUGUCGACGGUGGUGGGAAACAAAGCAAUGAGGUAAGUUUUUUUACUUUGUUUUUUUUAUGCUAUUUAAAAAAAUAGAAUAAACAUCAAAAUAGAAGAUAAAAAAAACCACCUUUGUAAUUUGUUUUUCUCUUUGUAUUCUCUGUUGAAUUUCUUCGUAAAAAAAUUACAAAUGGUUCUUUGGCUUUUUAUAGCUGAAUUGCAGCAUAUUAUUUUUCUCUUUUUCCUUUUUCUGUUUCUCUGCUUCCAUUUUUCUGUCUUUUGCAGGUGGUGGUGGCAAAGACGAGGAGGUGGUGUCAGGCCUCAGGUGGUACGCCUACUAACGUGGCGAGGGUGGCGGUUGGAGGCUUAGGGACUUUUAAGGUUUUCUUUUUGUUCUGUUUAAUUUAGUAUUUGGGCUAUUGGACUUCGAGUGUCUAGGCUUUUAGGGUUAGGUUAGUAGAUGAAUUUGGGCCAUUGGGUUUGUAAAUGGAGGGACCAAAAGGGCAAAUAACUCAAACCUAGUACACGUCAUUCCUGAAGGGAAUUUUGCUAACUGUUGAUUUCAUGACAUUAGCAUAAGAAAUGGCUUCUACUCACUUAAACCGAUAUCCUCCUACAUUGAUAACAAUAUUGAUACUAAUCGAGUUAAGAUAUAUUGUCAUGAUUGAUUAAAAAUGAGGCAACGACCUAACAUUACCAUUGUACAUAUUGUAAUGGGAAAAAUAAUGGUGUAAAAAGAAUGAGUGAAUGAGAUUUUACGAAAUAUUCUACUAAUAGGAAUAGCAAACGCAUCUCAUGGCAUGCUAUAUCAUUUCAAUUUUCAGGGGAAAUGAUUAAACUCAAGCCAUGCACUAAUGUAGUAAACUACACGCCCAACCCAAGUGUGCUUUCGCAAACUUUUACUAAAAUUACGUUACACUGUAGACUAUGUAAUUAAUUUCUUUUAUUUAGUGCGAUUUAGGGUACUUUCUAUUUAAUCAUCC